rnacentral:rRNA from 1 species
CGUAGGGUGCUAGCGUUGUUCGGAAUCAUUGGGCGUAAAGCGCGUGUAGGUGGUUAGUAAAGUUGGGUGUGGAAAUCCCUGGGCUCAACCGAGGAAGUGCAUCCAAAACUAACUAGCUAGAGAGUGGUAGAGGGAGGUGGAAUUCCGUGUGUAGAGGUGAAAUUCGUAGAUAUACGGAGGAAUACCGGUGGCGAAGGCGGCCUCCUGGACCAUUUCUGACACUGAGACGCGAAAGCGUGGGGAGCAAACAGGAUUAGAUACCCUGGUAGUCCACGCUGUAAACGAUGGGUACUAGAUGUUGCGGGAAUUGACCCCUGCAGUGUCGACGCUAACGCAUUAAGUACCCCGCCUGGGAAGUACGGCCGCAAGGUUA